GAAACCUGCCUUUCAGUGGGGGACAACAGUUGGAAAACGACCUGCUAAUACCGCAUAAUGUACACGGACCGCAUGAUCUGUGUACCAAAGCUUUAUGUGCUGAAAGAUGGUCUCGCGUCUGAUUAGCUAGAUGCGGGUAACGGCCCACCAUGGCGACGAUCAGUAGCCGGUCUGAGAGGAUGAACGGCCACAUUGGGACUGAGAUACGGCCCAGACUCCUACGGGAGGCAGCAGUGGGGAAUAUUGGGGCAACUGGGGGAAACCCUGACCCAGCAACGCCGCGUGAAGGAAGAAGGCCUUCGGGUUGUAAACUUCUUUUAGUAGGGACGAAGAACGUGACGGUACCUACAGAAAAAGCAACGGCUAACUACGUG
rnacentral:rRNA from 1 species